rnacentral:rRNA from 1 species
AUGCCUCCACGACCGUGCUCUAAGCCUGCGUCCGCGGCGUCGGUCAUGGCGGGAGCUCCGUCCGCCGAGCGCUUCCCGAGGCCCUCGCCGGCGGCGCCCUCCCCACCGCCGCCCUGCGUCCCGGCUGGCACGCUGCUGCCCGCAGGCUUCAGGCCGAGCGUCGUCCCGCCGUCACCGAGCAAGCGGCCUGCAUCGGCAUCCACGAUGUCGGUUGCUCCGUCAGGGUUAGCCACCUCCGCCGCGGUGCUGGCCGCGGCUGCCCUGGCCUCCCGCAAGGCUGCCCCGACCGCUGGUGGCCAUUUGUCCCGCGUUGGGCUGCCGCUGUGGCCGGUUGUGGCUGCAUCUCCGACAGUGCAUAGCUCGGGGCUUCCCAGGCCGGGUCCUCACCGCCGCUGCCGCUUGGGUGUCUCCCGUCCCCGGCCUCUGCUGACGCUGCUUCUGUCAGUGACGCACCGUCAACCUCGACGGCUGCCGGCUGCUGCUGCUGAAGCGCCGCCCACAGCCACAACUCCUGCUGCUGAAGCGCUGUCCACGACUCCUGUGGAAACAGCGCCGUCCUUGGCUCCUGUCCAUACUGUGACGGGUCUUGACUCGGAGCUACCUUUUUCGUGGAGCUCCCUUACUGACGGCGAAGAAGACGACGACGAUGAUGAUGAGCUCGCCCAACGGACGCCACCGCCGGCUACCAAAUCCUCGGUUUCGGCUGCUCGGCAGGACGUGGCGUGUGAAGCGGAUACAUGCGGAGGUUGGCAGAAGGUGCUCCCGCGGCGCGAUGUGCAACGCCAGACGUCACAAGCCCCUGCUUUGUCUCCCCGUCCCGUCCCUGCUUGGCUUCAUGAUAGAUGUUGCAGAUGUCUCUUUCCUGGACACCGUGCAGCGGAUUGUCGAGAUCCUUUUAGAUGUUAUCGAUGCCUUGAGAACGGUCAUCGAGCGCAUGAGUGCCGCAAUGCAUGGCGUCCCCUUAGCUCCUUGGGAAGAGCUACUGUGUCGCCAUUGCCCCGCCUCCCCAUCGAGCACCAACAAGCUCCAUCUCCAUACAAGGUCCAGAAAGAAGCCCCGCCCCUCUCGAAGAUAUAUUGUCGUGAUUCUUGGGCAUCGAUCGUUUCUGCUCCUGCUGGCUCAAUGGCCCCGACGGAUACCUCGAUGCGGCCCACUUUGGAGAGGCAGGCCGAGCUGCUGCGCUCUGAGCUCCUUGGUAUGGCUUCCUUUUAG